GGGGAAUAUUGGACAAUGGGCGAAAGCCUGAUCCAGCCAUGCCGCGUGUGUGAAGAAGGUCUUCGGAUUGUAAAGCCCUUUAGGUUGGGAGGAGGGGUUCUGGCUUAUAUUCAGGGAUUUUUGAGGUUACGCACGGAUGAGGCACCGCCUAACUUCGUGCCAGCAGCCGCGGUAAUACGAAGGGUGCAAGCGUUAAUCGGAAUUACUGGGCGUAAAGCGCGCGUAGGUGGUUCGUUAAGUUGGAUGUGAAAGCCCCGGGCUCAACCUGGGAACUGCAUCCAAAACUGGCGAGCUAGAGUAUGGCAGAGGGUGGUGGAAUUUCCUGUGUAGCGGUGAAAUGCGUAGAUAUAGGAAGGAACACCAGUGGCGAAGGCGACCACCUGGGCUAAUACUGACACUGAGGUGCGAAAGCGUGGGGAGCAAACA
rnacentral:rRNA from 1 species